rnacentral:misc_RNA from 1 species
GAUGAAGAACGUAGUGAAAUGCGAUAAGUAGUGUGAAUUGCAGAAUUCAGUGAAUCAUCUAAUCUUUGAACGCACAUUGCGCCCUUUGGUAUUCCUUAGGGCAUGCCUGUUCGAGCGUCAUCUAAACCUUCAAGCCCUGCUUGGUGUUGGGUGCCUGUCCCGCCUCCGCGCGUGGACUCACCUCAAAUCCAUUGGCGGCCCCCGCGUCGGCCACGAGCGCAGCAGAAACGCGAACUCGUGAGCCCGUCCGGGCGGCUCCCAGAAGCUAACCCCCAAUUUUUGACCUCGGAUCAGGUAGGGAUACCCGCUGAACUUAAGCAUAUCAAUAAGCGGAGGA